ensembl:lncRNA
CAGCGCUCAGGAACUAGAGGAGAGGUGGUUUAAAGAAGUCUUCUGAGGUCAUGUAGAGAGAGCAUUGCCUGUGUCAGGCAAUAAACAACUUGAAGAUAAAACUUUUCUUCAUAUUUCUGGUGAGCCUCAAAUCUGGCUUGGAACACAACAGGCACUGAAAUUAAAGUCACUGCAUUCUUCAUCCAAGAUCUGUUAUGUCUGUGAACAGUAAAAACCGAUGGUGAUAUUAGUUGCUGGACUCCAGGUAAAUUACUCAUAGCUGUCAUCACCAUCAUAUUCUCUGCUCCGCCCUAAACCAAACACAGAGACAAUGGUGCCAGAACAAAUUGCAAUAAAACAUCGAAUCCUCAAGCA